AUCCGAGUUAUUUCCCUUGUUGGAGCUCUUCGGCAUUGAAGAAUAGAAAAUGUGUAAAUUGUAAACAAAAUGGCAGACAAUGAAAUCUGCAGUUUUUCUUCUUGUUUUGAAACAUCUUGUUCAGGAAAAUUCUACCUCAAGAGACUCAGAAUUUGAUGAAAAACAGUUGACAAAGUUGGGAUAAUCUUUACGAAAAGCCAAAGGGUUGAUCUGGACAUGAUGAGUAUUACACGUAUAGCUAGCUACUUGUAGAAAAGAAAAGAUGAGGAAAUCAGGGUGGUAUGGGGGCGAAGGCCGAGAGGAUUUUAGCUGUUCCCUUCAAGAUGUCUUUGAAAUAGAGAUCGAGAGAUAAAUGUAAUGGUGUGGUAGUCCCCGACCGAUCCCGAUUACAAUGUCCCUUGCAAGAUUUUCCUAAUGAAGAUUCUCAGGAUUACAGAUCUUCUAGCAAGGAGACCACACAGAUAGAGAUGACCAGAGCAGAGGACAUACACCCCCCCCCCUAAAAAAGAAAAAAAACAAUAUACAGUGGACUGGAAGUAAAUUUUACAUGAAAAAUACAAAGUAGGAAAAAUAACAGAAAGAAAAGAUGAUCCAGUAAAAGUUGUCACUGGUGCAAGAUGGACAUAGAGAUGGUUUUCUAAUGAUCAUUACUAAAAUCCACAGCAAAUCAAUACUGCAAGGCUGAGCUACUUUUCAAACUUACACAAAAGGACAUAAAGAAAUGUGAAUUCGAGGAAACCAAGCUUACAUCAAAUGAGAGAAUAUGAAGGAACAAUUUUUAGCAAAAAAAUUUUUUUUUAAG